rnacentral:rRNA from 1 species
GACGAACGCUGGCGGCGUGCCUAACACAUGCAAGUCGAGCGAAUGAAGUUCCUUCGGGAAUGGACUUAGCGGCGGACGGGUGAGUAACACGUGAGCAACCUGCCUCAUAGAGGGGAAUAGCCUUCCGAAAGGGAGAUUAAUACCGCAUAAGAUUGUAGUACCGCAUGAUACAGCAAUUAAAGGAGCAAUCCGCUAUGAGAUGGGCCCGCGGCGCAUUAGCUAGUUGGUGAGGUAACGGCUCACCAAGGCGACGAUGCGUAGCCGACCUGAGAGGGUGAUCGGCCACAUUGGGACGGGGACACGGCCCAGACUCCUACGGGAGGCAGCAGUGGGGAAUAUUGCACAAUGGGGGAAACCCUGAUGCAGCAACGCCGCGUGAGUGAUGACGGCCUUCGGGUUGUAAAGCUCUGUCUUCAGGGACGAUAAUGACGGUACCUGAGGAGGAAGCCACGGCUAACUACGUGCCAGCAGCCGCCGCAG